AGUUUCCCAUACCAAAUUAUGCAUUUCUAUCGUUUUGCAAGCUGUGCGUUUUCCUCUUCCUCUUUCCAUUCUCGCCUUCGGUCGUCCCUUUCAAAUCUCGGUCUGUGUCCUUUUCAGCUCUUCGUUUCUUCCCUCAACACCGUAUCAGUGUUUUGUUUGUACAGAGAAGACGGUAACUUGGCUGGUGCACUGUCUGUUUUCAGUCGAGGGUGGCUGAGAAGUGUUGCACUGCUCCAGAUUCCUUUUGUUUAAAACCUCUCAGAAAGCGAUGAUUGUCGUCCUGCGCUCUAGCAACUAUAAAGAACACAGCUUUAGUAAAGAAACAUGCGGUUCAAGGCUCCACAUCGGACAUUGACUACGAGACUACAGCUUAAAAAUUGAACCUGGUGGUAGCUAUGAAAUCACAAAUUUUCGGACCACUAGAAUGAAGGGCCAGUACAAUGUGGUGCCGCAUGAGACUCAGCUUAUAUUCAGUGGUAAAACAAAUUUCAAAAAGCUCUCAAAAUGUGUUUCCACCUAUUCCUCGACACCGGUUUUUCCUACAGGAUUACAACAUUCUUUAUCCCCACUUGAACAAAGUUGACAUUCUUACAGAUGUCAUUAGUCAUCUCACUGCAAUACAACAUUUAGAGCCAAAACAGAUUAAUCAAAGGGUAGCAUACAAGUGUGAUAUACACAUUCAAAAUGUCAGAAGGGAACAACUCACUGUUACACUAUGGGGAGACGUCGCUGAAGAAUUUUGUUCUUCAUCUGUCCAAGCACUGCCUCUCCCAAUUGUUGUCAUUUUUACAAGUUUAAAAGUGAAGCUUUAUCUAGAUAAAAUUGUGACGAACAGUACAGAUUGCUCACUUCUCCUUUUUGAUCCAAACAUCCCAGAAGUUAAUGCAUACAAGUCGGUGUAAGUAUUUCUAUAGCUUUUAACACAAUUAAACUCUUUUCACUGUUGUAAAAGCAAAAGAAAUAUUAGUUUCAUAAAAUUAUUCAAACAGUUUUACAUUUUCAAUCAUACAGGUAUGCAAAUUGUAACGAGCCUGUGAAAAUAUUGGCCCCCUUCUCCAGACAAGUAAAUGAGGCUGAAAUUUUACGUACAACCAAGAUGUUCACAAUUGAUGAAGUCGCUUUUCUAGAUCUUGAUUUACACAAGAAUGAUACGUUUUUCUGUAAAGCGUGUGUCAAGUAUUUUGACACACGUUAUCAAUGGUGGUAUAGUGCGUAUGCCAACUGUGUAAAACAAAUGCAUAAAGACUUGACAACUGGACAGCUGAUCUGCCAAAAGCAUCCAAACCAAAUUCCAACUCCUUGGUAAUGUUUAACAUGCAUUCCUCAAACUUUGUCUUAAAUAUUUGUUAUCCUUAUCUUUUAUUCUUUCUUUAUAUAAUCUAACAUUUACCAAAUCUGUUUUUUCACAUUUUUCACAUUUUUUCUCAUAUUUGUAUGCACAUGGUUUGAAUACAUUUAUCAAGAAUGAAAUCAGGUCAGAUAUCCUCACCCUCCUUGAUUAGUUUUCUCGCUGUUUUUCUGCAGCUGUUAUCCAAAACUUUGUUAGAGUGAUACUUAGCUUAAAUUUUGUGAUGUUAAACAAAAAAUUCCAACCUUUCCUGCUUUCACGUUAUUUAAACAACUUUCAAAUACUAUGUGGUCAACAAUUAAAUCAUUGUUCAAAACAUACUCAUUGCAGCACA